rnacentral:rRNA from 1 species
GCGGAAUCCUUCGGGAGGAAGCCUGAGAGCUUAGUGGCGGACGGGUGAGUAACGCGUGAGCAACCUGCCCAUAAGAGGGGGAUAACAGUUGGAAACGACUGCUAAUACCGCAUGAGACCACAACACCGCAUGGUGGAGGGGUCAAAGAGCAAUCGCUUAUGGAUGGGCUCGCGUCCCAUUAGGUAGUUGGCAGGAUAACAGCCUACCAAGCCGACGAUGGGUAGCCGACCUGAGAGGGUGAUCGGCCACACUGGAACUGAGACACGGUCCAGACUCCUACGGGAGGCAGCAGUGGGGAAUAUUGGGCAAUGGGCGCAAGCCUGACCCAGCAACGCCGCGUGAGUGAAGAAGGCCUUUGGGUUGUAAAACUCUGUUCUAUGGGAAGAAGGAAGUGACGGUACCAUAGGAGAAAGCUCCGGCUAACUACGUGCCAGCAGCCGCGGUAAUACGUAGGGAGCAAGCGUUGUCCGGAAUUACUGGGCGUAAAGGGUGCGUAGGCGGCAGCUUAAGUCAGAUGUGAAAUGCCGGGGCUCAACUCCGGAGCUGCAUCUGAUACUGGGCCGCUAGAGUGCAGGAGAGGAAAGUGGAAUUCCUAGUGUAGCGGUGGAAUGCGUAGAUAUUAGGAGGAACACCAGUGGCGAAGGCGACUUUCUGGACUGUAACUGACGCUGA